rnacentral:rRNA from 1 species
GACGAACGCUGGCGGCGUGCUUAACACAUGCAAGUCGAACGGAAAGGCCCUGCUUUUGUGGGGUGCUUGAGUGGCGAACGGGUGAGUAACACGUGAGUAACCUGCCCUUGACUUUGGGAUAACUUCAGGAAACUGGGGCUAAUACCGGAUAGGAGCUCCUGCUGCAUGGUGGGGGUUGGAAAGUUUCGGCGGUUGGGGAUGGACUCGCGGCUUAUCAGCUUGUUGGUGGGGUAGUGGCUUACCAAGGCUUUGACGGGUAGCCGGCCUGAGAGGGUGACCGGCCACAUUGGGACUGAGAUGCGGCCCAGACUCCUACGGGGGGCAGCAGUGGGGAAUAUUGCACAAUGGGCGGAAGCCUGAUGCAGCAACGCCGCGUGCGGGAUGACGGCCUUCGGGUUGUAAACCGCUUUCGCCUGUGACGAAGCGUGAGUGACGGUAAUGGGUAAAGAAGCACCGGCUAACUACGUG